GUCCACACCCUAAACGAUGAAUACUAGACGUUGGUCCUUUAAGGGUCAGUGUCUGAGCUAACGCAUUAAGUAUUCCACCUGGGAAGUACGAUCGCAAGGUUGAAACUCAAAGGAAUUGACGGGGGCCCGCACAAGCAGUGGAGCAUGUGGUUUAAUUCGAUGCAACGCGAAGAACCUUACCUAGGCUUGAAACGCAAGUUAAAGCUGAUGAAAGUCAGUGUUCCGCAAGGAGAACUUGUACAGGUGCUGCAUGGCUGUCGU
rnacentral:rRNA from 1 species